rnacentral:rRNA from 1 species
UAUUUCCCGAUUUAAAAGAGUUAGUGGUUUAUUUUAGUUACUGUUUCAUUAGUAUUAGUAAUAGGUUGCUGGUAGUGAAAUGUUAUUCGUUUUUAGUGGUUUCUGGUUUUUCAAGAAAUGAAUUUAAUUCAUGCGUCUUGUUUAGAUUUUUAUUGUUUUUUAUUUGUCUUUAUUGGGCGUUAAGAUUGAGGGGGAUUAGCUCCUUAUUUUAUUUUUAUAAUUUUUGUUUUUAUUUAAUUUUGUGGAUUUUAUAGUGAUUUUCGAUUUGAUUAUGUUAAAAUUUUAUUUUUUUCUUUUGUUAUUUAAUUUUAUUUAAUUUUUUUAUUGGAAUGUUUUCUUUAUUUUUUAUUGGAUUGUAAUUAUUGUGGAAUUAGUAAAUCUGUUUGUUGUGUUGUUUAUAUUUUUGUUUAAUUUCUUUUGAGGAAUUAGGCAAAAUUUUUGUGUCCGCCUGUUUAACAAAAACAUCUUUUCUUGUUAGUUUUUGAAGUAUGGCCUGCCCGCUGACUUGAGUGUUGAAGGGCCGCGGUAUUUUGACCGUGCAAAGGUAGCAUAAUCAUUAGUUCUUUAAUUGUGAUCUGGAAUGAAUGGCUUGACGAGGCACAAGCUGUCUUAAUGUUGAAUGUUUUAUUGAAUUUGGUUUUUGAGUUAAAAUUCUUAGAUGUUUUUGUGGGACGAGAAGACCCUAUAGAGUUUAACAUUUGGUUUAUUUGUUUGUUUGUUGUUUGUUUGUUUUAUUGGUGAGUGGACUUUUUGUUUUGUUGGGGUGAUGGGAGGAAUAUAAUUAACUCCUCUUGAUUUUGGGUAUAUUGAUUUAUAUUUAUUUGAUCCAUUUAUUUUGAU